CACCGGUGAAGACAACACAGGAAGUUUCAGUUGUGUAUGAGCCAGUGUGAGCGGUAAGCCCCGCGGCCUGCUUUUCCGGGCCUGACCUUCGCCUUUUUCGCCGUCUGGCCUCUCCUGACCCCGGUCUUCUGUCGCUCUCAGAUCAGUGACCACUCUCGUUCUGCUGCUGCCUGUUGCUGGAUUGUCUGCGACUCCUGCUGACUGACUGGCCGACGGCGCCGCCAAAAUGAAGCUGUGUCUGGUGGCUGCGGUGCUUCUG
rnacentral:other from 1 species